GAUGAAGAACGUAGCGAAAUGCGAUAAGUAAUGUGAAUUGCAGAAUUCUGUGAAUCAUCGAAUCUUUGAACGCACAUUGCGCCCCUUGGUAUUCCGAGGGGCAUGCCUGUUCGAGCGUCAUAUUAACCACUCCCGCUUGCGGGGUCUUGGGCUUCGCCUCCGGGCGGGCCUUAAAAUCAGUGGCGGUGCCGUCGGGCUCUACGCGUAGUAAAUUUUCUCGCGAUAGGGUCCCGGUGGAUGCUUGCCAACAACCCCCAACUUCUUAAGGUUGACCUCGGAUCAGGUAGGGAUACCCGCUGAACUUAAGCAUAUCAAUAAGCGGAGGA
rnacentral:misc_RNA from 1 species